CACGGCGGUGGAGAGGUUGAUCGCGCUGUACGAGGGCGCGGGGCGUGAGGAGGAAGCGGCGCGUUGGCGUUCGAGCGAGCCGCCGCCGUGA
rnacentral:tRNA from 1 species